rnacentral:rRNA from 1 species
GACGAACGCUGGCGGCGUGCUUAACACAUGCAAGUCGAACGGAAAGGCCCUGCAUUUGUGGGGUGCUCGAGUGGCGAACGGGUGAGUAACACGUGAGUAACCUGCCCUUGACUUUGGGAUAACUUCAGGAAACUGGGGCUAAUACCGGAUAGGAGCUCCUGCUGCAUGGUGGGGGUUGGAAAGUUUCGGCGGUUGGGGAUGGACUCGCGGCUUAUCAGCUUGUUGGUGGGGUAGUGGCUUACCACGGCUUUGACGGGUAGCCGGCCUGAGAGGGGGACCGGCCACAUUGGGACUGCGAUACGGCCCAGACUCCUACGGUAGGCAGCAGUGGGGAAUAGUGCACAAUGGGCGGAGGCCUGAUGCAGCAACGCCGCGUGCGGGAUGACGGCCUUCGGGUUGUAACCCGCUUUCGCCUGUUACGAAGCGUGAGUGACGGUAAUGGGUAAAGAAGCACCGGCUAACUACGUG